UACGUAGGGUGCAAGCGUUGUCCGGAAUUAUUGGGCGUAAAGAGCUCGUAGGCGGUUUGGCGCGUCUGCUGUGAAAACUCGGGGCUUAACCCCGGGCCUGCAGUGGGUACGGGCAGACUAGAGUGCGGCAGGGGAGACUGGAAUUCCUGGUGUAGCGGUGAAAUGCGCAGAUAUCAGGAGGAACACCGGUGGCGAAGGCGGGUCUCUGGGCCGUAACUGACGCUGAGGAGCGAAAGCGUGGGGAGCGAACAGG
rnacentral:rRNA from 1 species